rnacentral:rRNA from 1 species
CGCGCAGGCGGUCGAUCAAGUCGAGUGUGAAAGCCCCCGGCUCAACUGGGGAGGGUCAUUCGAUACUGAUCGACUCGAAGGCAGGAGAGGGUAGUGGAAUCCCGGUGUAGUGGUGAAAUGCGUAGAUAUCGGGAGGAACACCAGUGGCGAAGGCGACUACCUGGCCUGUUCUUGACGCUGAGGCGCGAAAGCUAGGGAGCAAACG